AGUUGCAUUACGGGGCAGGUUAUCUUUGGCAGUGAAGCACAAAGCUUGUAUUAUAAAUUACACAAAACGUUGAGUGCACACUGCCAAAGGAGAUUUGCCCCAUAAUUCGACU
rnacentral:pre_miRNA from 1 species